GACGAGCGGCGGACGGGUGAGUAAUGCUUGGGAACAUGCCUUUAGGUGGGGGACAACCAUUGGAAACGAUGGCUAAUACCGCAUAAUGUCUACGGACCAAAGGGGGCUUCGGCUCUCGCCUUUAGAUUGGCCCAAGUGGGAUUAGCUAGUUGGUGAGGUAAUGGCUCACCAAGGCGACGAUCCCUAGCUGGUUUGAGAGGAUGAUCAGCCACACUGGAACUGAGACACGGUCCAGACUCCUACGGGAGGCAGCAGUGGGGAAUAUUGCACAAUGGGCGCAAGCCUGAUGCAGCCAUGCCGCGUGUGUGAAGAAGGCCUUCGGGUUGUAAAGCACUUUCAGUUGUGAGGAAAGGUUAGUAGUUAAUACCUGCUAGCUGUGACGUUAGCAACAGAAGAAGCACCGGCUAACUCCGUGCCAGCAGCCGCGGUAAUACGGAGGGUGCGAGCGUUAAUCGGAAUUACUGGGCGUAAAGCGUACGCAGGCGGUUUGUUAAGCGAGAUGUGAAAGCCCCGGGCUCAACCUGGGAACUGCAUUUCGAACUGGCAAACUAGAGUGUGAUAGAGGGUGGUAGAAUUUCAGGUGUAGCGGUGAAAUGCGUAGAGAUCUGAAGGAAUACCGAUGGCGAAGGCAGCCACCUGGGUCAACACUGACGCUCAUGUACGAAAGCGUGGGGAGCAAACGGGAUUAGAUACCCCGGUAGUCCACGCCGUAAACGAUGUCUACUAGGAGUUCGGUUUUUCGGAACUGUCUUCCAAAGCUAACGCAUUAAGUAGACCGCCUGGGGAGUACGGCCGCAAGGUUAAAACUCAAAUGAAUUGACGGGGGCCCGCACAAGCGGUGGAGCAUGUGGUUUAAUUCGAUGCAACGCGAAGAACCUUACCUACACUUGACAUCCAGAGAACUUACUAGAGAUAGUUUGGUGCCUUCGGGAACUCUGAGACAGGUGCUGCAUGGGCUGUCGUCAGCUUCGUGUU
rnacentral:rRNA from 1 species